AGUGAACGCUGGCGGUAGGCCUAACACAUGCAAGUCGAACGGCAGCACAGUAAGAGCUUGCUCUUACGGGUGGCGAGUGGCGGACGGGUGAGGAAUACAUCGGAAUCUACUUUUUCGUGGGGAUAACGUAGGGAAACUUACGCUAAUACCGCAUACGACCUACGGGUGAAAGCAGGGGAUCUUCGGACCUUGCGCGAUUGAAUGAGCCGAUGUCGGAUUAGCUAGUUGGCGGGGUAAAGGCCCACCAAGGCGACGAUCCGUAGCUGGUCUGAGAGGAUGAUCAGCCACACUGGAACUGAGACACGGUCCAGACUCCUACGGGAGGCAGCAGUGGGGAAUAUUGGACAAUGGGCGCAAGCCUGAUCCAGCCAUACCGCGUGGGUGAAGAAGGCCUUCGGGUUGUAAAGCCCUUUUGUUGGGAAAGAAAAGCAGCAGGUUAAUACCCCGCUGUUCUGACGGUACCCAAAGAAUAAGCACCGACUAACUUCGUG
rnacentral:rRNA from 1 species